CAGCAGAAGGGGGAGUGCUAAUCAAAGCUGUUUGACUGGUUGCAUUUCCUUAAGCUGGGAGAAGGAGGACCUGAACUCUAGCCCUAAAGAUGCUGUCUAUUCAUGAAUGGUCUCAAUCACGCUGGGAAAAUCUUGAGGAUGUACGACAGCACAGCAAGACCACUGAGGCAUUAUGACAAUCAGCAAUAACCAAAGAAUGUCUCCAUAUGUUGUGAAUGCACUUUGGGAAGGAGCACUCUUCUCUUGUGUAAAGAAUGCUAGAUUGCAGACAGUGGGCCAAAUUCUGCUCUCACUUAUACCAGACUAAAUCUAUUACUUUCAAUUAAGUUAUCUUGGAUUCACUCCAGUAUAAGGGAGAAAAGACUGAUUGCCUUCAGACAUGUUCUCUAGUUGUAGUGGCAUAAUGCACAGUACUGCACAUUAUGUUGAAUGUUGACCUACGGGAACCAGAAG